GGAAGUAAAAAGUCGUAACAAGGUUUCCGUAGGUGAACGCGGAAGGAUCAUUAC
rnacentral:rRNA from 1 species